ensembl:lncRNA
CAACAACAACAACAACAACAACCCUAACAGAACAAAAAACCAUCAGAUACAUACCAGAUAGAGCCCCAGACGACAGCCCCAGGCGGGUGGCGAGGCGGAAAUCCAUCUCCUAUGACCUGGCGGAGGAGGAGCUGAUGGUCAGCAUCGAGCGGGAGUACAGCUGCUGAGGCCGCACGCGGUGGCUGUCCCUGGUCACGUCCUGUCCCCAGCCCGGGCUCGGUGCCGCAGAGCCACCUCCAGACUCGGAUUGGCCUGUGCAGACUCACGCUCCUGCGGCCACUGCUGGAGGGUCUGGGGACAGGCGUGUGGCCCCUCCCAGCCACCCAGGAGCCAGGGACUCUCUCUCUUCUGUGACUGCUGUCCAGGGGCGAGGGCCAUGGCACCUGCACACAGCAGUUUUCACCGAAGCCAGAGUUUCCCGCCAGCACAGCCUCAGGACACAGCCUUCAGCCAGACAUCCCCACCUGGGACCCUUGGCAGUUGCGCGCAGACAGGUGUGCUACGAACUUCUGUGACCAGGCACCGGAGUGGCUUUGGUUGGAGCUCCACGGAACUCCUAGGCCCUAAUCUCUGGUUUCUUAUUGCACAAACCUUUCACCUUUUACUAAGCCCAAAGCACCCCUUUUGGUAGAAAGAUGAAAGCCACUGCUAUUUUAAUAAUACAAGCACGUACUUUAAAAGAAGUUGGAAAACAAAAAGUUGAAUUUUUCUCUCUUUUUUUUUUGGUACUGGGGAUGGAACUUGGGUCCUUGUGCUUUUGAGGCACCAAGCUACAUCCCUGGCCCGAAUUUUUAUUUCUUAAAGUGGGACUGGUGGCGCACGCCUGUGAUCCCAACACUCAGGAGGCUGAGGUGGGAGGAUCACCCCGAGUUUUGAGGCUAGCCUGGGCUACACAGUGAGUUCAAGGCCAGCCUGGAGUACACUGCAAGACUCUAGCCCAAAACAACAAAAUAAAUAAGAUUUUAAAAAUCAAAAUUUUAUUUCUUACCACCAGAUGAAUCAGGCUUUGAACUUGCUGAUAUACAUGUUUACAAUUUGACGUCACGGUUUUGUUAACACAGGGCACUUAGGCUGGCUUCCAGUGCGACCUCAUACAACCCUUCAUGGGAUCAAAGUGUAGGGAGGAGAGAAAAUCUCCCAGAGUGGUCGCCCUCUGUGAUGGCAGAGUGUACGUCCUCAUGGGAAGGGGCACCCACGCUGUUCUCAGAGGUUUGUUCGUUUCUGGUUUUUUCUUUUUGUAGCAGGGGAUUGAGCCCAGGGCCUUUUCACUCAGCUACACGCCUUUUUAUUUGGGGAGACAAGGUGUCACUAAAUUGUCCAGGAUGGGCUCUUGAAUCUGUGAUCCUCCUGCCUCAGCUUCCCAGAGUGCACCACCAUGACGAGUUGAAAUAAUAUGAUUAACUUUCACUGACUAAAGCCCAAGUUACAGAAAUGGCUUGAAGUGGCUGUGGUUUCUUUUGGAGAGUUCUUUUUUUCCCCUCCCUGUUUUUUUUUUUUUUCUUCUUUGAGACAGGGUCUCACUGUGUAGCCCAGGUUGGCUAGAACUCAAGGUGAUCCUCCUGCCUCAGCCUCCCCAGUGCUGCUGCCCCAGCACUUCACAUGUGCUCACCACCA